rnacentral:rRNA from 1 species
GUGGGGAAUAUUGGACAAUGGGCGAAAGCCUGAUCCAGCCAUGCCGCGUGUGUGAAGAAGGUCUUCGGAUUGUAAAGCACUUUAAGUUGGGAGGAAGGGCAGUAAGUUAAUACCUUGCUGUUUUGACGUUACCGACAGAAUAAGCCCCGGCUAACUUCGUGCCAGCAGCCGCGGUAAUACGAAGGGGGCGAGCGUUAUUCGGAAUCACUGGGCGUAAAGCGUGCGUAGGCGGUCUCGUAAGUUAGGAGUGAAAGCCCAGGGCUCAACCUUGGAAUUGCUCUUAAUACUGCAAGGCUAGAAUCUCGGAGAGGAUAGCGGAAUUUCCAGUGUAGCAGUGAAAUGCGUAGAUAUUGGAAGGAACACCAGUGGCGUAAGCGGCUAUCUGGACGAGUAUUGACGCUGAGGCACGAAAGCGUGGGGAUCAAACAGGAUUAGAUACCCCAGUAGUCC